UAUUGAACUUAAUUGAAAAUACGGACUCUGUCGUGCCGAGUUUUAUUUAAGCGGGCUAUCGUGCCGUGCUCGAGCCGGCCCUGUUCGAUUGACACUUCUACUUGGAACUGCAUUAUCCACAUCCAUGGGUUCUGAUAUUUUUUAAAGACGAGGGUGGUGUACGGCGGACAGCACCCCGGUGGUGGCAAGACAAGGAAGAGCGGGUUGAAGGUUGGGGAGGUUGGGGUUAGAGUUUGAGGAGAGAAUAAGAGAAAUUGGGUGAGAACUGAAAUCCUGGGUCAACACGGCUCAACAUUUUAUAUUAUGUGGGGAUGGGAAACCGGAUAAGGAGAGGAGAAAUCCAAUUCCUAAAUCUGCCUGUUUGGAAUGCACGUCGGUUUCAUCCUAACCCUAACACUUUGAGCCGCCCAAGUUGGUUUAUGUAAAUCUGCCUGUUUCGACCACCAAGUUGCUCCAGAGAACCCACUUCCAAUUGCUUAUGAAGAUUGCUGGGCUGCUCUUCAAUGGGUUGCUGAUGCAUUGAACAACUUUCAUAAAAUUAGGUAUGUUUGGCUCAUCCUAUUGUAUUGAUGUUUUGGAUUUGGACUCCUUUUUCAAAAUAGAUUGUCUCAAUUCCUCUUCUUUCACGGAAUGUAAAAAGUAAGGAAAGCCCGUCCUAUAUAUUUCUCUCUCUCCUCUCCUCCGAUCCAAUCUCUUAAACUUUCCUUUCUCUCUUUCCCGUGUCGCCCCCGUGUAUUGAACGCACGGCGAACUGUCAACUCCGGCCGUUUACAGUGGUUUCGGAAUUUGCCGCACUGUCCACACGAAGCUCGAAGCUCACACAGAGCCUUUCUUUUGGAAGACCAAUCAAUCCCUUUCUCUCUCAGCCAAACAAAAUAAAAAAUGGGGAGCGAGAGCAAUCUGAAUACUUGGGUAUCCGAUAAGUUGAUGACGUUGCUCGGAUAUUCUCAGCCCACUGUUGUUCAGUACAUUAUUGGAUUAACCAAACAGGCAAAAUCACCGGCUGAUGUUGUGGGCAAGCUUGUAGAAUUAGAAUUUGGGUUGUCAUCUUCCGCUGAAACAAGUGCAUUUGCUGAAGACAUCUUCGCAAGAGUGCCCCGUAAAGAAUCUGGUUUGAAUCUAUAUCAGAAACAAGAGAGGGAAGCUGCCAUGUUGGUGAAGAAGCAGAAGACAUAUUCUCUCUUGGAUGCAGAUGACGAAGAUGACAAUGAUGGCGAUUCAUCUUCUGUCCAGGUUGUUUCCAAGUCCAGGAAAGCUGAUUCCCGUAAGAAACGAUUCAGGAAGAAGGUCUUGAGUCAAGAAGAUGAAGAUGAUGAGGUGAUUGCACAAGAGGGACAAGUGAGACGAGUUAAAAGACGAACUUAUUCCCCAGAUGACGAUGAUGGUUCAGAGUCAGAAGAGGAAAGAUUGCGUGAUCAAAGAGAGAGGGAGCAAUUGGAGCAGAAUAUAAGGGAACGGGAUACAGCAGCUACAAGAAAGUUAACGGAGAGAAAAUUAACACGAAAGGAAGAAGAGGAGGCUAUUCGGAGAAGCAAUGCAUUGGAGCGGAAUGACCUCGAAGAUUUAAGAAAAGUCUCAAGACAAGAAUAUCUCAAAAAGAGGGAGCAAAAGAAAUUGGAGGAAAUCAGAGACGAUAUAGAGGAUGAGCAAUACUUAUUUGAUGGCGUGAAGCUCACUGAAGCAGAAUAUAGUGAACUAAGCUACAAGAAACAAAUAUACGAGCUGGUGAAGAAGAGGUCAGAUGAGGUUGAGGAUACCACUGAGUACAGGAUGCCAGAUGCGUACGAUGAGGAGGGUGGUGUUAAUCAGGAAAAGAGAUUUUCUGUGGCUGUGCAACGAUACAGGGACCUCAGUGCUGGGGAUAAAAUGAACCCAUUUGCAGAACAGGAAGCUUGGGAGGAUCAUCAAAUUGGAAAAGCAACGCUGAAAUUUGGCUCAAAAAACAAAAAACAAAUAUCUGAUGAGUAUCAAUUUGUAUUUGAGGAUCAGAUUGAUUUUAUCAAGGCAUCAGUGAUGGAUGGUGAUGAGUUUGAUGAUGACGGGCAACCAUCUGAGUUACUUGGGUCGAAGGCGAAAUUGGGCUUAGAGAAGCUCCAGGAUGACAGAAAAAUGUUCGAUAUUGCUCGAUUUAGACCGGAUCUCAAACUGCUUAUCUCAAGUGCAACGCUUGAUGCUGAGAAGUUCAGUGAUUAUUUUGAUUCUGCUCCAAUUUUCAAAAUUCCAGGGAGGCGGUAUCCUGUUGAUAUCCAUUACACGAAAGCACCAGAAGCUGAUUACUUAGAUGCGGCAAUUGUCACUGCACUUCAAAUCCAUGUGACGCAACCACCUGGAGAUAUAUUGGUAUUCCUCACUGGUCAGGAAGAGAUUGAAACAGCGGAAGAAAUAUUGAAGCACAGAACAAGGGGCCUAGGGACAAAAAUUGCUGAGCUGAUUAUUUGCCCCAUAUAUGCAAACCUACCUACUGAGCUGCAAGCAAAAAUUUUUGAAGCCACACCUGAUGGGGCAAGGAAGGUUGUCCUUGCCACAAAUAUAGCUGAAACUUCGUUGACCAUUGAUGGGAUCAAAUAUGUUAUUGACCCAGGGUUUUGCAAGAUGAAGUCGUAUAACCCAAGGACUGGAAUGGAGUCAUUGCUAGUUACUCCCGUCUCAAAGGCAUCAGCUAUGCAGAGGGCAGGUCGAUCUGGUCGAACGGGUCCUGGAAAGUGCUUCCGGUUAUAUACUGCCUACAAUUAUUACAAUGAUUUAGAUGAUAACACAGUACCAGAAGUACAAAGAACUAAUCUUGCAAAUGUUGUGCUUACGCUGAAGAGCCUGGUAUUCAUGACUUAUUGCAUUUUGAUUUUAUGGACCCUCCGCCAUCUGAAGCAUUACUAAAAGCCCUGGAACUGUUAUUUGCACUAAGUGCAUUAAAUAAAGUGGGUGAGUUGACUAAAGUCGGUAGAAGGAUGGCAGAGUUUCCUCUUGAUCCCAUGCUAUCUAAGAUGAUAGUUGCUUCUGAUAAGUACAAGUGUUCAGAUGAAGUCAUUUCCAUUGCUGCCAUGCUUUCCAUUGGUAAUUCCAUCUUUUACCGUCCCAAGGACAAACAAGUCCAUGCUGACAAUGCACGUUUGAAUUUUCACACCGGGAAUGUGGGAGAUCACAUUGCAUUGCUCAAGGUCUAUAACUCAUGGAAAGAGACCAACUUCUCAACCCAGUGGUGUUAUGAAAACUAUAUACAGGUGAGGAGCAUGAAGCGUGCUAGAGAUAUUAGAGACCAGCUUGAGGGACUCUUGGAGAGGGUUGAGAUUGAGCUGGUCUCAAAUCUCAGUGAUUACGAGACCAUAAAGAAGGCCAUUACAUCUGGCUUCUUCCCUCAUUCCGCAAAGCUUCAAAAGAAUGGAUCUUAUAGAACAGUCAAACAUCCACAGACUGUCCAUAUACAUCCCAGCUCAGGGCUGUCACAGGUGCUUCCGAGAUGGGUUAUAUACCAUGAAUUGGUACUUACAACCAAGGAAUAUAUGAGACAGGUAACAGAAUUAAAGCCGGAGUGGUUAGUGGAAAUAGCUCCGCAUUAUUACCAGCUGAAGGAUGUUGAAGAUUCGAUGUCAAAGAAAAUGCCCCGGGGAGAAGGGCGCCCACAACAGGAUUGAGAACUUGAAGAUAGUUGUAUAUAUCACUAUCACUGGUGGUUUGUUGGGGAUGGUAGAGCAAAAGAAGCCUAUAAAUACAAUUUUGUGUACCAGAACAAAACUGCAUUUUCAACUAGUUGACACACUAACAACUUGGGGCUUAUAGACUGAAUCUUUUUGCAGUAAUUACAGGAGAAUCUGAGGGUAUUCUUUUCUUACCGUUACGUUACAAGUUUAGUUGACACACUAACAACUUGGAGUUAGGCAACUAAGGUGUAUUCUGUAUCUGACAAAUCUGUACAAGAAUCGACGUUCCUAUGUUUUUUUGAAUUUUAUUUGAGUUCUCAAUAAAUAAAUAAAAAUUAUUCUUCUUUCA